rnacentral:rRNA from 1 species
GACGAACGCUGGCGGCGCGCUUAACACAUGCAAGUCGAGCGAAGCGGCGGACGGGUGAGUAACACGUGAGUAACCUGCAUUAGACAUUGGGAUAGCCUCGGGAAACCGGGAUUAAUACCAAAUGGUCUAAGAUGGAAUCGCGUCCCAUUAGCUAGUUUGUGAGGUAACGGCCCACCAAGUCGACGAUGUGUAGCCGGCCUGAGAGUGUGAACGGCCACAUUGGAACUGAGAAACGUCCCAAACUCUACGGGAGGCAGCAGUGGGGAAUAUUGCACAAUGGAUGGAACUCUGAUGCAGCGACGCCGCGUGAACGAAGAAGGCUUUCGAGUCGUAAAGUUCUUUUAUAUGGGAAGCGGUACCAUAAGAAAAAGCCCCGGCUAACUACGUGCCAGCAGCCGCGGUAAUAC